UGCGGCGGCUCGGGGGUGGCAGAAAGCAUUUGCCCAGCACGUUUCCUUCUGCCGUUCUUUUGCAGGUAGAAAAGGCACCUUCUAUUUUAAUCGAGGUGUAAACCCACCCCACCUACAGCUACUCUGAAACCCAGGGAGAAGAUGAAGUCCCCUGGGAGGAGCUAAGGAGGCGCGGAGGCCUCGGCUGCGGGGUGGGGGUGGAAGGUGAAGCCGCGGUGGCCCGGACGCCAGGUGCGCCCCGCAGCCCCUCCGCCCCGCCCGGGCCCGCGCCGCCGGGUCCUAGCGCCGAUGCGACUCCCAGCGGGCGGGGCUGGGGAGGCUGGGCGCCGAGGCUCCCGGCACACGCACAGCGCUGCAGAGGUUGCUAAUAUUGGGACCUGCCGCAGCAGCAGCAGCGGGAGACCGCGGCACUGCUGUCACCCCGGGGGCCUGCUUCUCACUGCAACCGGAUGAAAGACUUAAAUAACCCUCCUUCCCCACCCCCACUGCGCACAACCGCCCACUCAGCUCCAUCCGAAAGAGGGUGUUGGUUUUAAAUAAGCAGAGCGGUUAGUGGCGCUGGUUACCGUGCGAGGAAAGGUCAUGAGCCACAACAAAACCCAGUAUCAGAGCUUUAUUGGAACUGGGGACAGAAAAGAGCAAAGAGUGUGGUCAGCCCCGGGAAGAGGCACGAGCGGGAGGGAGUCUGAGUCUGGCUUUUUAAGGAUUCCCCUGCACAUGCGCAGGUAGGCUUACGGAGCUACAACACGCAUGCACUGAUUCCGUGACCACACUGCAUGCAUUUGCACUGAUGACGUAAUACAUAAGACCCCUUGCUUAGCUACUGAACUGCACAUGUGCGGUCAUAUAGCGGAAGUGGCAGAAUCCUAACAACAGACUGUUUGCCAGUGUUCUUAACCAGGGUUAUUUGCCCCCAAGAAAGUCCAGCCACUGUCCAGAAGGCACAUUUGGUCAAUACAACUGGGGGCACCACGAGGCUAGAGGCCAGCGGUGACACCAGGACAGGCCACUGUUCCCUAAAAUGUCUGUAGUGCUGAUCCUGAGACACUCUGAUAUAGAUCGUGCUACUGUGACAUCUGUCACAAAUUUCAAUCUACUCUCUUAAAAUCUGUGUCUAGGAAGGAAAGAAGAAGAAGAAGAAGAAGAAGAAGAAGAAGAAGAAGAAGAAGAAGAAGAAGAAGAAGAAGAAGAAGAAGAAGAAGAAGAAGAAGAAGAAGAAGAAGAAGAAGAAGAAGAAGAAGAAAGGCUGGAAAUAUAGUGCAGGGAUUAUCUCAGAAGAGAGGACAAAAGAAAAUGUAAGAGCCAGUUUACAGAAGACUGCCUCAAAACAGUGUGUUCCAGAUGUAACAGUGCCAUUGCACAUGAACUUAUUCCACUAAGGUUGACUGCACAAGACCUGAGCGCAAUCAAGCCAGCAAAAAUUACAGCAUGAGUGGGGGAAGAGAUCAUGAAGUCCCAUCCAUAUGUGAUGAGCUCUUGGAAGCUGAUGUCUACUAGUAGAGGGGAAAUCAAUUUUCUUCAGGGAUGCAGCCCCUGGACCCAUACUAUGGAACGGUGACACUCACAUUCAAGGAUGGUCUUCCCUACUCAACUGAACCUUUCCGAAAACACCCUCAUAGACACACCCAGAAGUAUAUAUCUGUGAUGAUUCUAAAUCAGGCACCUGGACAAUGAAGGCUGAUCACGGCCAGAGGGACUCAGUGCUGCCUGGGGUAGAGUCGCUGCCCUCAGCUGGCUCACCCUAAGAUUGUAUGGCGAGUAUCGAUCAUCAGGGAAAGUGACAAGUGUGGAUUCAGGUGGGCGGAAUGCCUCUCUAAGCCGUGCUGUGAGCCUAUGCUUCUGCUCUCACCAGGUGCGUCCCUAACCAACGUGGCUGCUCUCUCAAGACCUGCCUAACUUUUCAAAGAUAAUGCUAGGACAGUCAAGAGCAUUUCUUCUGGAAAAAUACAUUGGCUAUAUAUCUGGAAAAUAUUGUAAGUACACGCAAACAUUUUGUGUAUGCACAUGUGCAACAUACCUAGAAGUUAUGAACCAGUAUCAUGAAUGAAUGUUAAAUCAAUUAAUAUCAGACAACAAAAAAUACUUCUAUAUAAGCCCCCCAUCAACCUACAAGUCAGAGACAUGCGUCUGUUUCCUAGAUACCCAAAGCUAUGUGCUAGUCUACACGUAUCUCACUAAGACAAUGACUUACUAUUUACUUAUGUUAAAUACAUUCAUGGCUGCUUCAAGUUUUAAAGAUACUCUCCAUAACUAUGAAGAUGAAUUUUAUGUAUUAAUUUGACUGAGCCAUGAAGUGCCUAGAUAUUUGGUCAGACACUUUUCCUGCAUAUGUUUUAAGGGUGUUUCUGGAUAAGAUUGACAUUUUAAUUGGUGUUCAGAAGAAAACAGAUUGCCCUCCCUAACGUGGGUGGGCUUCAUCUAUUGAAGGAAGGCCCAGACGGAACAAAAAGCUGAAAAAGAAAGAAUUCCCUCUGCCUGACUGACGACCAGCCUUUGAGUUGGCGUUGGUCUCCUGCCUUGGAACUCAGAUGUGAGCAUGCUCAGUCCGCCUAGUCCUCAGGCCUAGACACCAGCUCCCUCGAACCACUACCCCACAUGCAAAUUUUCAGACUGUUCAGACUCCAUAAUCACACAAGCCAACGUUAUACAGCAAAUAAUAUGGUGUAAAGGAUGGGGAGGAGCAAGCAUCCCUAAUCUGAAAAGCUAAAAUCCAAAGUGUUCCAAAAUCUGAAAUUUUCUGACCAGAAAAUGAUGCCCGAGUAGAAAACCUUACACUGUGAAACCUUAUUUUCUGUAUAAGAUUGUUUUAAAUAUGGUUUUUAAAUUACCUUCAAGAUAUUUGUACAAGACAUGUAUGAAACAUAGAUGACUUUAUUGUUUAUACUUGGGUACCACCCCCAAGACAGACAGACAGACAAACAGACAGAGAGACAUUCUGUACAUAUGAAAUAUAUAUGAUAUAUACUAUAUAGUACAUAAAUACUAAUUUUAUAUAAAUGUAUAUUAAUACUGUAUAUAUGUAUAUAUAUUGAAAUACUAUACUUAUAUGUAUUACAUAUACAUAUAUAUGUAAAACAUCUAUGCUAUAUCUAUCUAUACCAUAUGUUUAUGUAUAGUAGAUAUCAUAUACUAUAUAUAUGAAAUAUGAACUAUAUAUUAUAUAAGUACUAUAUUUUUUCAUAUAUACAUGAAAAUACUACAAAAUCCAUAACAUUUCUACCCCCCAAAUUUCAGGUAUCGGGAAUAUUGACAGACAAUCUUGACUGUCCACAGGAUUUAGCACCAAGAAGCAGUCAAGCUUUCUGGGAACGUCAGUGAGGGAUGUUCUAGGUUCGGUAAACUGAGAUGGGAAGACCCAUUCUAAGAGGUAGACCAUACACAGGAGAAAGCAACUGAGCACUGGUGUCCACGGCUCUCAGUGGAUACCCUGUGGCCAUCCGAUACCAUGACUGCCCUGCUGUGGCGGACAGCAUCCUUUAAGUCUGAGCCAGGCCCUUCUUCUCCUCGGCUGCAUUGGUCGAGUGUCCAGUCACGGCAAUGAGAAGAGUAACUGACGUACACACCAGCCCUGCUAACUUCAGUUCUCUGAGGAAGACAGCCCUCUGCCAUUUUCAGACAUGACAAUAAUUCAUCAAACUGAUUUUUCUCCCAUCAACACUGCAUCCUGGUUCCCACUGUUGCCCUGCCACCUCUUUAAACCUAGAUCCUCCCCGCUACACACCCACCCAUACUUGGCUUGGUUGAUUCUGUACUUUCCUCAAGUGGGUAAGAACUCUUCUUCAAAUACCUGAGUGUCACCAAUGAAUGUCAUUUCAACUGUCUCCUCAAGCAGAGUGACACAGAGCUCCUUGUUUCAGCUUAAUUUUCAUCACCUUUCAAGCUCCACUGUACAGCAGAUUUCCUGUCACGUUACACCCAGCAGGGUGUGCUCUUCACGUGACUGAAGUGUAGGCCCUGCUGCCAGGACUUGGGCUUUGUCCUGCUCACUGAGACAUCCAGGUCUCUAGGAGAGGAAGUGGUCCUGGUUAAGUGCUCGGUGAGGGUUUGUUGAUAGGCUAAAUGAAUGUCCUUGUAUCGCCUUUUGAUGUCUCAAAUCAGAUCACCUGACAAGUAUACCAGUUAAGGUGAAAAGCCAGAAAACGAAUCACGAUUUCGAUGGUUAUCAGGAUGUGUGACUGCACCUCAUAGUUUUCUGCUGGAGUACAAGGAGAAAAACUUCAAGUUCUAUAAAACAAUUUGUGUGGCUACUUUCCAAAUUUUUCUCACUCUCAAGACAUUUUAUAUUCAUGAGCCUUGAUGUUAUGGCAAUAACUCUGCCUUCAACCACAUUUCAUUUCUGGUUUCUAAAAACCUAGGCACUGUUUUUGUGCCAAGUCCCAGCUGGGCUAUUAUUGAUGAGUAAGCGUACUAUUUGGCUUCAUAGGUCAAUGACUAUUAAGUCUUGGAUCAGAGACCAAUUUUUGAACGAAAGGCUAAGCUAACGUGUUUUAUUUUUCAUGGUGAGUGGUUAUCUUCUGGUCAACUUUGUUCUACAGCACUGAGAUCCCUAGAAGAAUGUGCUUGGCUUGGAGAGGCUAGAGGAGAUUGACUCUUAGAUAAGGUAAAUGUCACCUCUUCCAUUUUCUCUGGAUCCUGGGUAAGUUUCCCAUUGUUCUUUAAAUUAUGCAAAAAUGAGAGAAACCUGAAAGAGAAAUCCGAACAACUAGGAAGGCUCCAUUAGACGUUGGCAGAGGCCCAAAGAGACCACCAAGCUUGCUCAUAAAUGUGCGGUGUCUAAUAAAAAUGUGCUGGUUAU